rnacentral:lncRNA from 1 species
ACCUGUAUUGUAUGUGGUCUGUCUCCUUUGCACUAGGUGCCUCACUUACUUUUCUUGCAUUAUUGCAAAGGUACAUAGAACUGUCACCAUAAUCUGAAAUAACAUAAGUGAUUAUGGGCAUCCUUGUCUUGUGUAUUUUAAUGAGAAUGCCUUUGCUAUCUACCUUUCAGAAUCAGCUUGUUAAUUUCUUCAAAUAAUCCUAAUGCGAUUUUGAUGAUGAUUGCCUUAAAUCUAUAGAUCAAUUUUAUGAGAUCUGACGUUAUUACAACAUUUAAUCUUUUAAUACAUGAACGUGGUAUAUAUCUCAAACUAUUCUUUACAUUUUCUCAGCAGUUUUUCAUGUAGCAGUCUUGUGAAUAUUUUGUUAAAUCUGUAAGUAUUUCAUGGUUUUUGACACUUAUAUCUUUAUA